rnacentral:rRNA from 1 species
GAUGAACGCUAGCGGCAGGCUUAACACAUGCAAGUCGAGGGGUAAGUCAUUUCGGUGACUGAGACCGGCGCACGGGUGCGUAACGCGUAUGUAAUCUACCUUUUACAGGGGGAUAGCCCAGAGAAAUUUGGAUUAAUACCCCAUAGUAUUAUUGAAUGGCAUCAUUUAAUAAUUAAAGUUCCAACGGUAAAAGAUGAGCAUGCGUCCCAUUAGCUAGAUGGUAAGGUAACGGCUUACCAUGGCGACGAUGGGUAGGGGUCCUGAGAGGGAGAUCCCCCACACUGGUACUGAGACACGGACCAGACUCCUACGGGAGGCAGCAGUGAGGAAUAUUGGUCAAUGGGCGCAAGCCUGAACCAGCCAUGCCGCGUGCAGGAUGACGGUCCUAUGGAUUGUAAACUGCUUUUGUACGGGAAGAAACACUCCUACGUGUAGGAACUUGACGGUACCGUAAGAAUAAGGAUCGGCUAACUCCGUGCCAGCAGCCGCCGUAACAC